UACGUAGGGCGCGAGCGUUGUCCGGAAUUAUUGGGCGUAAAGAGCUCGUAGGCGGUGUGGCACGUCGUUCGUGAAAACCUGCAGCUUAACUGUGGGCGUGCGGUCGAUACGGGCAUCACUGGAGUUCGGCAGGGGAGACUGGAAUUCCUGGUGUAGCGGUGAAAUGCGCAGAUAUCAGGAGGAACACCGAUGGCGAAGGCAGGUCUCUGGGCCACUACUGACGCUGAGAAGCGAAAGCAUGGGGAGCGAACAGG
rnacentral:rRNA from 1 species